rnacentral:tRNA from 1 species
AAGAAUUUAGUUAAUACAUAACGUUAGUUUGUCAAACUGAAAUAAAUACUUUUAUUAAUUUUUA